UUUCCUCAGAGAAUAAAAGCCGGACAGAGAGCGUUAUUCCUCCUGGAGAGUCCAGGCCUGACAGUCUGUUUGGGGAGCAGGAGGCGGCAGGUUGGCCACUCCCUCACCUGUGUACUCUGCUGGAAGAAGUUCUCCUCUCUGUGCCAGAGCGUUUGGCAUAGCUGUGUGGAGCAAUGACAGCUGUGAGGGAGUUCAAGUCUGGGUUAGAACGAUACCAAACCGCACCCAGCAGCAACCAGCAGACCUGAUCAGUGUCAAGGGCAAGAAUCCCCAACAGGUGCCGUCCGGCUCGGAUUCAUAUGCAUUCAGACGGUAGCAGGAACGGACUGUGCAGAUGAAUGGACACCUGUAAGACAAAGAGAAGGGACACAAGAGCGCUGGAGGAGGAACAGGGGAGUUAUUUGCUCAGGGCAGCAGGUGUGUGUGGGAGUGUGGGUCCUUUCAAAAAUGGGGUGGUCACCGAAUCCAGACUCAGCGGGGGACCACAGUGCUCACCGAGGUGUGAAGUGGCCUGGGCCAGGAGCGGAUUAUAAACCUGUCGUGCUUUACAAUAGAGGUGAGAAGCAGCAAGGGGGCCCUGGGUUACAGCUCAGCAAACAGGACAAACUGCACAUAUCCCAAACGUUAAGAGGGGCUGUGAAUGGAGACCUGCUGUUUGAAAUGAUAUACAAUUAAACCUCCUGCAGGAAAAAGUAUAAAGGUCACUGUGGUGGUCAUUAAACAGCGGGUCAUUAAAGACAGGUUAGACCUGUAAACAACACAGGUUAGAUACCGUCACAAAGGGCGACUUAAAUUAUCACACUGACUCGCAAAUGUUGUGGAAAUUGAGUGUUAAAAUAAACCUGAUUGGCUGGUUAUUUUGGCAAAAAAGUGUAACUUGUGUCAACAUUAAAGAAAGGAACUGAAAGGAGCUGAUUAUUUCCAGUAACUCAAAUCUCCCUCACUGUGAUUAAGGCUGUUAAAUAAGAUCAACUAAAUCGACCCAAACAGAGGAAUAAAGGGUAAUAAAUAUAGAUGUUUAGAAUCAAUUAAAUUCAAAUUAAUUACUUUCAAGAAAAAAAAUCUACUGUGCAUAAACAAUUUUAAGUUGUUUAAACUUAAAAGGAGAACGGUUACACUCCUAGGAUAAACAUUAUGGAUCUAAUACAGGACCAUUUUGACCUUUAAAUGUAGAUUUGUUAAAUCAGUUUUCUUGACAGGCACUAGGUAGAAUCAAUUUGUUUAUUUCAGCAAAAAUAGUGAAAAAAGGUGCGCCAGUGGGCCUUGUGGUUAGGUCGCACUCCUCAUGUAUAGAGGCUUUAGUUCUCGAAGCUGGCAGCCCGGGUUUGACUCCGACCCUAA